AGGAUGAAUGCUGGCGGCGCGCCUAACACAUGCAAGUCGAGCGGAAAGGCCCUUCGGGGUACUCGAGCGGCGGACGGCUGAGUAACGCGUGGGAACAUGCCCCAAAGUGAGGAAUAACUGCCCGAAAGGGUAGCUAAUGCCGCAUAUGAUCUUCGGAUUAAAGGAUUUAUCCGCUUUGGGAGUGGCCCGCGUACGAUUAGGUAGUUGGUGAGGUAAAGGCUCACCAAGCCCACGAUCGUUAACUGGUCUGAGAGGAUGACCAGUCAGACUGGAACUGAGACACGGUCCAGACUCCUACGGGAGGCAGCAGUGAGGAAUCUUCCACAAUGGGCGAAAGCCUGAUGGAGCGACGCCGCGUGCAGGAUGAAGGCCUUGGGUUGUAAACUGCUUUUAUAAGUGAAGAAUAUGACGGUAACUUAUGAAUAAGCACCGGCUAACUACGCGCCAGCAGCCGC
rnacentral:rRNA from 1 species